rnacentral:lncRNA from 1 species
AGACAAGGUUUUUUUUUCUUUUAAAACUUGCUAACAGACCUUGGUGAAAAGGUAGUUUGGGAAGCUCUUCCCCCAAAUCAAGGUAGUUUGGGAAAACGGCUUUUCUAUCACAAGAGGAUGCUUAAUGCUGAAAUUUUUAAAGCUCUUUUUGUCGCCUGCUCUGGCCAGCACAUCUAGGAGAAGUACAGAGCAAUUAAAAUUAUUUUGCCUGUGCUGGAAUCCGUAUGUAUAUGGCUUGCAUCAGUUGAGAUAGAUGCUCUCCUGAAGGCUUUAGGGCAGCAACACUACCAGCAGCAGCCUGGAUUAGAGUUGGCUGUUUCUAGAAGAAAAGAUGGAGGAAAGGCUGCUCACGGGUAGAGAAAGCUGGUGGCAGUGCUGUAGGCCGCCCGAGGGUCGUCCGUACCCUGCUCGGAAAAGUCACCGUUCGACGAGGGGUAGUGCUCCUUACAGCUGGGAUACAGGAACGUGCACAGUGCCCUGAGGCACUGCUCCAAGAAGACAAGGGAUACCGGGGCACCCUCCAAAAUCCUCCACCUUGUGCUGGUCUGGAGCUGGUAAGGAAUCCUCAUUCCCACCUGGGGAGGGUGAAACACAGUUGGGAACCAGGAGGCGAACUGCCCUCAGACAUCCGAAGGGAAGCUGUUCUCAAGGCUUUGAAACUAUUCUCUUUCCUCUUAAAAGGCAAGAUGCUAGCGAUAGAAAUCAGGAAAAUAGGGUUAGGAAAAAGGAGAAGGUAAACUGGUGGUGAUAUGUUCUGAAUACUACUGUGCUAUAACUUGGCUACUGUCCUCUAAUUAUUGAAACAUGCUGUUGGCUAAUAUAUAUAUUACAUUACCAAGGAGUUUGCAUAGAAUGGUUCACAUUUAUGCAUUUUAUAUCUCAUAAGUCUAGAUAUGAAUGAGAAUGCGAGACACCUGAUUGUCUUGAUCAGCCUAAUGUCGAUCGAGUUAAUUCUCCAAUUCAAACCACUAGUCAGCAGUAUUUUCUGGGAACAUCACUCUGAUGUAGAGGCAACAUUUUUCAGAUUACAGAUGUUAUUGAGGUAAUUCAGGUUUUAAAGUAUUUUUAAUGUUGUCUUUAGGUCUUUUGUUUGUGAAUAGGUAUAGUUGACAUGCCAGUUAUAAUACCAGGCAUUUCUAGGCCUAGGACCUUCACCUCUAUUAACAGAGGAAACUGGUAAAUAUUACUCCUUUACUCUGGCAAAGCAUAAGACAAUUCUGGCUAUGGAAAUAUUGAGUGACCUCAGGUGGUUCUGAACACCUCCUUAGCUUUCAGCACUUAUAAUGAAGCUAGAAGUUGUAUUAAAAAUACAGCUUCAGGAACCUUUCUGCCUGUGAACUUCCCACUCAUUAGGUGUGAGGUAUAUUACUUUACUCAGUGACUGGCUCUGAUCCAUCCUUCCUUACUAUCUUGAUAUUUCCUCUGAGACUCAUGUAAUAACAAUGCCAUUGUUUCUUCAGAUUAAUAAAAAUUAAACAACAAGCCUCA